rnacentral:lncRNA from 1 species
GGGCUGGAUGGGUCCCAUCCGGCUGGAGCUUCCACCUGCCUGUGUCUUGCCUGCUCUGACAGGGGCCAGACAGCUAUAUCCUGAAGCAGGGGCAGCGCCAGGGUGAAACCAUCCUCAACCCAGCACACACGGGAUGUAAAAUUCAUGUUCCAGCAGAUAAUGAGGGGACCGGAGCAGGCCUCGUGCCUCUCGGCUUGGGUCUGGCCACGACGGUAGGGGGCCUUCAUCCACCUUCAUCCACCCCAUCCUUUGCGAGGGCCUACAGAACCUACUGUAAAUUUGCCCAGGCCUGCUGGAAGAACAGGAAAAAGAAAAUCCGUCUGGUUAAAGCUGUCCAUGAGCCACAGGGAAGAUUUCAAAGACUCAGGUGAGUGUU